GACGAACGCUGGCGGCGUGCUUAACACAUGCAAGUCGAACGGAAAGGCCCUGCUUUUGUGGGUUUCUCGAGUGGCGAACGGGUGAGUAACACGUGAGUAACCUGCCCUUGACUUUGGGAUAACUUCUGGAAACUGGGGCUAAUACCCGAUAGGAUCUCCUGCUGCAUGGUGGUGGUUGGAAAGUUUCGGCGGUUGGGGAUGGACUCGCGGCUUAUCAGCUUGUUGGUGGAGUAGUGGCUUACCAAGGCUUUGACGGGUAGCCGGCCUGAGAGGGUGACCGGCCACAUGGGGACUGAGAUACGGCCCAGACUCCUACGGGAGGCAGCAGGGGGGAAUAUUGCACAAUGGGCGGAAGCCUGAUGCAGCAACGCCGCGUGCGGGAUGACGGCCUUCGGGUUGUAAACCGCUUUCGCCUGUGACGAAGCGUGAGUGACGGUAAUGGGUAAAGAAGCACCGGCUAACUACGUG
rnacentral:rRNA from 1 species